GGGAGAGGGAGAAGCAAGCUUCCCGCUGAGCAGGGAGCCCCAUGCAGAGCUUGAUCCCUGGACCCGGGGAUCAUGACCUGAGCCAAAGGCAGACAGCCGGCGACUGAGCCCCCAGGCGCCCCUGGGUGUAUUUUCCCUUAUCGCUUGUCACCACGGGGUCACCCUUACAGGGAGCCACGGUAACUCCACCACUGCCGUUGGUUGAUUAGGUUGCUGAGGGUUUUUCUACUUAUAUAAAGAGCUCGACUCUGGACACUGCCUUCGGACUAACUGCUCCCGGAAGCUCUAUGCGAGAAACGCCACGCCAGCAUCUCUGGGGUCUUUCGCUGCGUCCUGGGAUCCUUGCUGCAACCCUGGUGCAGGUGACUCAGAGGAGGCUGUCUCGUUCAGGAAGAUCCCUGUGCAUCUCUGUGUACCAGCAGUCACGGUCACCGCACGGGGAUGGCAGCGGGGGUGGGGGGGCUCCCGGAUGCUUUGCUAAAGAUGCCAGCCCCCCACCCCUCGGAAGUUCUGACCUAGCAGUCUGAGAAGGGGGGUGGCCAAGGACAGAAAACACUGCAGGCUCUUCCAGAAUUUGCUGGGGAAGGGAGAUGACACACCGUGCUUUCGAUGCUGGCUACCCAAGAGCUCUUUCUACUACGCAGGCCUCCUGCCUUCCAGGGCUCAGGUCGGGAUCAACUUUUCCUGGCUGCCCCUGGAAGGCCCUACUGAUGACACCAUCUCCGACCACGUAAGUUGGAUCACCCUGUCCAGGCCGGCAGCAGAACCUUCCAAAAGAGAGAGUUAGCCCGGAAGGACAGCCUGGAAGAGGAGGCUGAUGAGGGCCAACAGGAGGUCACCCCACUCCAGACCCCAGACCUCUUGCCGAACCCCAACCUGCCCACCCUGCUGAGGCUGUGGAGCCUUGAGCAAAUUACUAAACCUCUCUGGGCCCCAGCUUCCUCACUAGGAACAUGGAGCUGACACUGCCCACUGCCAGGCUCAUGGCGAAAACUAAGUAACGAAGUCCACAACACAGCAUGGGCAUUCACUCG